rnacentral:rRNA from 1 species
AACGAACGCUGGCGGCAUGCCUAACACAUGCAAGUCGAACGAGACCUUCGGGUCUAGUGGCGCACGGGUGCGUAACGCGUGGGAACCUGCCCUUAGGUUCGGAAUAACUCUCCGAAAGGGGUGCUAAUACCGGAUAAUGUCUACGGACCAAAGAUUUAUCGCCUUUGGAUGGGCCCGCGUUGGAUUAGCUAGUUGGUAGGGUAAAAGCCUACCAAGGCGACGAUCCAUAGCUGGUCUGAGAGGAUGAUCAGCCACACUGGGACUGAGACACGGCCCAGACUCCUACGGGAGGCAGCAGUGGGGAAUAUUGGACAAUGGGCGAAAGCCUGAUCCAGCAAUGCCGCGUGAGUGAUGAAGGCCUUAGGGUUGUAAAGCUCUUUUACCCGGGAUGAUAAUGACAGUACCGGGAGAAUAAGCUCCGGCUAACUCCGUG